GACGAACGCUGGCGGCGUGCUUAACACAUGCAAGUCGAACGGUGAAGCGCCUUCCUUUUUGGUGGGUGUGGAUGAGUGGCGAACGGGUGAGUAACACGUGAGUAACCCGCCCCCUUCUUCUGGAUAACCGCAUGAAAGUGUGGCUAAUACGGGAUAUUCUGGGUCUGUCGCAUGAUGGGUCUGGGAAAGAUAUUGUUUCGGUGGGGGAUGGGCUCGCGGCCUAUCAGCUUGUUGGUGGGGUGAUGGCCUACCAAGGCGGUGACGGGUAGCCGGCCUGAGAGGGUGGACGGUCACACUGGGACUGAGACACGGCCCAGACUCCUACGGGAGGCAGCAGUGGGGAAUAUUGCACAAUGGGCGCAAGCCUGAUGCAGCGACGCCGCGUGAGGGAUGGAGGCCUUCGGGUUGUGAACCUCUUUCGCCAGUGAAGCAGGCCUGCCUCGUUUGUGGGUGGGUUGACGGUAGCUGGAUAGGAAGCGCCGGCUAACUACGUG
rnacentral:rRNA from 1 species